rnacentral:rRNA from 1 species
AUACGGAGGGUUCAAGCGUUAGUCGGAAUUACUGGGCGUAAAGCGUACGUAGGCGGACUAGUAAGUGAGGGGUGAAAUCCCAGGGCUCAACCCUGGAACUGCCUUUCAUACUGCUAGUCUUGAGGUCGAGAGAGGUGAGUGGAAUUCCGAGUGUAGAGGUGAAAUUCGCAGAUAUUCGGAGGAACACCAGUGGCGAAGGCGGCUCACUGGCUCGAUACUGACGCUGAGGUACGAAAGUGUGGGGAGCAAACAGGAUUAGAAACCCCAGUAGUCC